rnacentral:tRNA from 1 species
GUGGGUAUAGCUCAGUGGUAGUGUGUGUUUAGCAUGCACAAGGUCUUGGGUUCAAUCCCCACUACUUCCA